CGUGCCUACGGGACGCAGCAGUGAGGAAUAUUGGUCAAUGGGCGGAAGCCUGAACCAGCCAAGUCGCGUGAGGGAAUAAGGCCCUACGGGUCGUAAACCUCUUUUGCCGGGGAGCAAGGGCGGGGACGUGUCCCGGCCCGGAGAGUACCCGCAGAAUAAGCAUCGGCUAACUCCGUGCCAGCAGCCGCGGUAAUACGGAGGAUGCGAGCGUUAUCCGGAUUUAUUGGGUUUAAAAGGUGCGUAGGCGGAUUUU
rnacentral:rRNA from 1 species